rnacentral:lncRNA from 1 species
GAUAUGCAUGCAUGCCACUGUAUUUUAAUUUUAUUUUUAUUGGUCGGCAUACUUUUGUAUUUAAAAUCAAAAUGAUGGAUUAUUAUUCUAGCUAGGUAAAAUAUAAAAUUGUUACUAAAGCGGCAUGCAAAAGUAAAGGGACUUGGAUCUAUCUAAUUAGAAAAGUUACACCUUGAAUUUUCUAUCCCAAAAAAGGUUACCUUCAAUUUUGAAUUCAGUUUUGAUAUGAUUUAAUCGAUGUUAUUACGUCUUGUUUUCAAAUACAGUCUUU